GACCGCGUAGCUCAGUUGGAAGAGCAUUUGGCUAGUAUUCCAAAGGUCGUAGGUUCGAAUCCCACCGUGGCCG